AGUCCAGACGUCCGUCCACCACCUCCUGAGCUGCAGAGACCAGGAGGACUCUCCUCCAAAGGCUUCUCUGAGCACAUCCGCCCAAGAGGAACGCAGCCGGGCCAGAAGAAAGAGCCCCCUCCCCCAACGCUUCCGCCUGCGGUCCUCAUUCGGUCCUCUCCCUCCUCUCUUCUAGCUUGACAUGCCUGCAGGGUCUCCUGGCGCGCACUGCCAAGCUGACCCCUUUAGGGGCGGCUUCCCCCCCCAAGGCGGCAGUGCACCUGCUUCACAUGGAGGAGGAAGCAAGUGGCCCCUCUCCGCGAAGCCAGGCCAGAACCGCAGAUGGAAGAGGGUGUCCCCUCUGGUGCUGUCCUUCAGCCUCUGCCCACUAGCUGGAGUCCGUGAGAAGAAUCGUCCUUCCUGAGCUGUCCUGGCUGUGCCUCUAAACCAAUGAAGAAGAGCUGCAGAUCGAAGAUUUGGAAUAAGAGGCAGGACAGCAAGGGAGGGAGCCCUGUUUCUCUCUCUGUGUGUGUGUGUGUGUUGCUUGAGCGCUUUUGUUGUUGUUAUAUAUAUAUUGUAUUUUUUAAUCUUUAGAUUCAUAAAUAGUCAAUUUUGACUGACCUGCCAUUUGUCUUUAUGAUCUGUGUGGCACCAGAUUACUUGUACCCCAAAGCUGUGAUCUGCCACCUUCCCAGUGGGGCUGAAAACUCAUAUGUGGGGAGGGGGUUGGUGGCAGGUUUGAGAGGGCUUUGAAAGGAGGCAUGCUAGGCAACGCAGCUACCCUCUUACUUUGCCCACAGAAUGCCUCUUGGCUUGGUCUGGGGGAGAAAUUCGAUUCAGAUUGCCUUUCAAGAUGAAUUGAUCAAACUGUCUGAUACAACAUUAGAACUGAAACGCAGCCAUCCUUUGAAAUGCACACUUAUCCGAAUUUUGCAAUGCGCUUCUCCAACUGAGUAAUGUUUACAGAAAUGCAUGUAUUGGGGGAAAAUGUGCCCAAAGUGAAAAUAUUGGUGAAACUAACAUACAAACAUGCAUCAUAUUAGGAUAAAUUGCUUGCAGAAAAUGUGUACCUUAGUCAAGAGGACAUACUAAAAUGUAUAUAAUAGGAUACAUUUGCACUACAAUGGUGAAGAAUUUUCAUGAGGAUUUUUUAAAAAGAAAAAAAAACACAAAUUGUGGCAGAAAUAUGGAGAACCGAAUUUUCAAACAAUGAGAUAUGGAGAGAACCAAAAUAUGCUGAUGAUUCCAUCCCUACUCUGAGCUCAGCCCCUGACAAACAUCCCUCAGCAAAGUUGCCCCAACCCCAAAAGCUGUGCAGGCCCUGCCAGCAACCGUCAGGGAUGCUGGGAGUAGUAGUCCAAUGCCAUCUGGAGGGCAUCGCCUUGGCUUCCCAGGUUACGGUCUAAGAGCACCUGAGGCUACCACAUUGCUGAAGGGAGGAAGACGUGGAUGUGGUCAGUUGUCUGGACUGGGGAUUGCCUGGGAAUCUGGAGCACCAUGGCAGCGAGGUGGGAGAGAAAGUGCAGGAAAAUAAAUAAAGAUGACCCUGUUCUAAA